rnacentral:rRNA from 1 species
AGUGAACGCUGGCGGUAGGCCUAACACAUGCAAGUCGAACGGCAGCACAGUAAGAGCUUGCUCUUACGGGUGGCGAGUGGCGGACGGGUGAGGAAUACAUCGGAAUCUACUUUUUCGUGGGGGAUAACGUAGGGAAACUUACGCUAAUACCGCAUACGACCUACGGGUGAAAGCAGGGGAUCUUCGGACCUUGCGCGAUUGAAUGAGCCGAUGUCGGAUUAGCUAGUUGGCGGGGUAAAGGCACACCAAGGCGACGAUCCGUAGCUGGUCUGAGAGGAUGAUCGGCCACACUGGAAGUGAGACACGGUCCAGACUCCUACGGGAGGCCGCAGUGGGGAAUCUUGCGUAAUGGGCGAAAGCGUGAUGUAGCCACGCCGCGUGAGUUAUGAAGGUCUUCGGAUCGUAAACCCCUUUUAUUAGGGAAGAACAAAUGUGUACGUAACUAUGCCUGUCUUGACGGUACCGAAUCAAAAAGCCCCGGCUAACUACGUG